AGAGGGAUAGCUGGGUCAAAUGGUGGUUACAUUUCCAGCUUUCCGAGGAAUCUCCAUACUGCUUUCCAUAUUGGCUGUACCAAUUUGCAGUCCCACCAGUAGU
rnacentral:pre_miRNA from 1 species